AUACGUAGGGUGCGAGCGUUGUCCGGAAUUACUGGGCGUAAAGAGCUCGUAGGUGGUUUGUCGCGUCGUCUGUGAAAUUCCGGGGCUUAACUCCGGGCGUGCAGGCGAUACGGGCAUAACUUGAGUACUGUAGGGGAGACUGAAUUCCUGGUGUAGCGGUGAAAUGCGCAGAUAUCAGGAGGAACACCGGUGGCGAAGGCGAGUCGCUGGGCAGUAACAUGCGCUGAGGAGCGAAAGCAUGGGUAGCAGACAGGGUUAAAUGCACUGGUAGUGCAUGGUAUAAACGGUGGGCGCGAGGUGUAGGGGUCUUACACGACUUCUGCGCCGUAGCUAACGCAUUAAGCGCCCCGCCUGGGGAGUACGGCCGCAAGGCUAAAACUCAAAGGAAUUGACGGGG
rnacentral:rRNA from 1 species